GUGAACGCUGGCGGUAGGCCUAACACAUGCAAGUCGAACGGCAGCACAGUAAGAGCUUGCUCUUACGGGUGGCGAGUGGCGGACGGGUGAGGAAUACAUCGGAAUCUACUUUUUCGUGGGGGAUAACGUAGGGAAACUUACGCUAAUACCGCAUACGACCUACGGGUGAAAGCAGGGGAUCUUCGGACCUUGCGCGAUUGAAUGAGCCGAUGUCGGAUUAGCUAGUUGGCGGGGUAAAGGCCCACCAAGGCGACGAUCCGUAGCUGAUCUGAGAGGAUGAUCAGCCACACUGGAACUGAGACACGGUCCAGACUCCUACGGGAGGCAGCAGUGGGGAAUAUUGGACAAUGGGCGCAAGCCUGAUCCAGCCAUACCGCGUGGGUGAAGAAGGCCUUCGGGUUGUAAAGCCCUUUUGUUGGGAAAGAAAAGCAGCAGGUUAAUACCCCGCUGUUCUGACGGUACCCAAAGAAUAAGCACCGGCUAACUUCGUG
rnacentral:rRNA from 1 species